CAGUCGCCACGGGAAUACGUAGGUGGCAAGCGUUGUCCGGAAUUAUUGGGCGUAAAGGGCUCGCAGGCGGUUUCUUAAGUCUGAUGUGAAAGCCCCCGGCUCAACCGGGGAGGGUCAUUGGAAACUGGGAAACUUGAGUGCAGAAGAGGAGAGUGGAAUUCCACGUGUAGCGGUGAAAUGCGUAGAGAUGUGGAGGAACACCAGUGGCGAAGGCGACUCUCUGGUCUGUAACUGACGCUGAGGAGCGAAAGCGUGGGGAGCGAACAGGAUUAGAGACCCCGGUAGUCCCUGUCUCUUAUAC
rnacentral:rRNA from 1 species